CCUAUUCUUACCAGCCUGCUGUCUGCACUUCAUUUUCAUAACAGCUCAGUGGAAUGUGCUCAUGCCUUUGUUUGUCCCUCUUCAGAGAAAGGGAAAUUGCUACACAAAGAUUGACAAGAGAGGGUCCAGCCCAUUGUGGGUGGGGCCAUCCCUAGUCCGGUGGUCCUGGAUUCCAUAAGAAAGCAGACAGAACCAGCCAUGACGAGCAAGCCAACAAAAAUCCCCAGGAAGAAAUAAGCAGCAUCCCUCUCGAUGACCCCUGUGCCUAGAAUAUAGCAGACUCGUAAACACUUAUGAAAGGAAACUCAGUGUGACUUUUAUGAUAAGAUACCAUGAUCAGAAACAAUUUACAGAAAGAAGAGUCUUGGGUUCCAGAGAGAGUCCAUGAUGUCUGAGAGAGGCUUGGCAACAUGGGCCCAGAAAAGGAAGCUGAGAGAUUACAUCUUCAACUGCAAGCAUGGUACAGAGAGCAAACUGGAAGUGCAUUGAGGCUGUGAACUCUCGGAGACCUCCUAAAACGAUUUCCAUCCUCCAGCAAGGCCAUAAAUACCACAUCCCUCAUCAUGUCGUCAAAUGGGAAUCAAGUGCUUCAAUACAAAAGCCUAUGGAGGACAUUCAUAUUUAAACCACUGUAUUCAACAUGCCCAGAGCCUUCUUUAUUAGCUGCUUUCUAGAACUGCCACACUAUUGUUCACACACACACACACACACACACACACACACACACACACACACACCACAAUGUGUCUAUAUAUAUACAUGAAAGAGAAAACACUGUAAGACGGUUCUGGGGAUGGUGACACCUUCCUUUAAUUCCAGCACUUGGGAGGUAGAGGCAGGCAGCUCUCUGAGUUCAAGACUAUCCUGGUCUAUAUCCAGGACACCCAGGACUAUACAAAAAAAAAAAAAAAAAGAGGGAGUAGGGAGAGGUGAGGAGAGAACACAUUUAAAAGCCUUGAUUAAACAAUUUAGUUUCCUAAGUACAGUUUUCUAGUUUUAAUUAAUAUACAAAAAACAGACUAUCAAAAGUGGGUACAUUUAUAUCUGAUUUUCCAUCAGCACCAUAUAAAUGUUUUCAUCAUGUAUAGCAGGACUGCUUAUUUGAUACCCAAGUAGACACAGCUAAUGAGUGUAGAUAGAUAGAUAGAUAGAUAGAUAGAUAGAUAGAUAGGCAGAUAGAUAGAUAGAUAGAUAGAUAGAUAGAUAGAUAGAUAGAUAGAUAGAUAGAUAGGCAGGCAGGCAGGCAGGCAGGCAGGCAGGCAGGCAGGCAGGCAGGCAGAUAGAUAGAUAGAGAUAGGCAGAUAGAUAGGCAGAUAGAUAGAUAGAUAGAUAGAUAGAUAGAUAGAUAGAUAGAUAGAUAGGCAGAUAGAUAGAUAGAUAGAUAGAUAGAUAGAUAGAUAGAUAGAUAGAUAGAUAGAUAGGCAGGCAGGCAGGCAGGCAGGCAGGCAGGCAGGCAGAUAGAUAGAUAGAGAUAGGCAGAUAGAUAGGCAGAUAGAUAGAUAGAUAGAUAGAUAGAUAGAUAGAUAGAUAGAUAGAUAGAAAGAUAAUAGAUAGAUAGAUAGAUAGAUAGAUAGAUAGAUAGAUAGAUAGAUAGAUAGAUGUUUUUAGGACAUGCUGGUUUCUCUGAUGUAAGCUGUUUAUGAA
rnacentral:lncRNA from 1 species